UAAACUGAGGUGGUAUUCACCAUGAUGCCUUCUUCUCUCUGACAAUAGAAUGAACUGAAAAAGUCACAUCCCAUGAGCUGCAUCAUAAUUAGCAUUCUUAUUCCUUCCAGUACUCAUCAUAUGAAAUCCCUUGAGUUUCCCUACUUCACUGGCCAUUUCCAUUUGCAUACUGCUUCCUGGGAAUUAGUGCUCAGUACUGAAUAAAGUAUACAAAGAAGGGAAUUUUACUCCCACUUACUUUUAUGAACUUACCAUAUAUAGCAAAAACAUCUUUUGUGAAAUUCUGUGUUCAAGCUUUCCUGUCCCGUGUGCACCUUGUUCUGAUGACACCUUGGACUGAAUCUGUAAGACAUCUUGUCUCCCCUGCUCCUGAUUUUUUUCUAGAGGACCAUAAUUAAAAAAAGAAAGAUAUCUGGUUCAUCAUUAUUGGGAAUAAAGCAGGUCACUUUUCCAAAG